CAGGGUUAGUGUCUUGGGACCAGUCAACAGGGUUAGUGUGUUGGGACCAUCAAAUCAGCAGGGUUAGUGUGUUGGGACCAGUCAGUCAGCAGGGUUAGUGUGUUGGGACCAGUCAGUCAGCAGGGUUAGUGUGUUGGGACCAGUCAUAGGGUUGGGGACCAGUCAGUCAGCAGGGUUAGUGUGUUGGGACCAGUCAGUCAACAGGGUUAGUGUGUUGGGACCAGUCAGUAGCAGGGUUAGUGUGUUGGGACCAGUCAACAGGGUUAGUGUGUUGGGACCAGUCAGUACAGGGUUAGUGUGUUGGGACCAGUCAGUCAGCAGGGUUAGUGUGUUGGGACCAGUCAGUCAACAGGGUUAGUGUGUUGGGACCAGUCAGUCAUGUUAGUGUGUUGGGACCAGUCAUCAG
ensembl:lncRNA